rnacentral:rRNA from 1 species
UACAGAGGUCUCAAGCGUUGUUCGGAUUCAUUGGGCGUAAAGGGUGUGUAGGUGGCGCGCUAAGUCGGGUGUGAAAUUUCGGAGCUUAACUCCGAAACUGCAUUCGAUACUGCCGUGCUUGAGGACUGGAGAGGAGACUGGAAUUUACGGUGUAGCGGUGAAAUGCGUAGAUAUCGGGAGGAACACCGGUGGCGAAGGCGGUUCUCUGGGCCUUACCUGACGCUGAGGAGCGAAAGCGUGGGGAGCGAACAGG